GAAAUGAAAGAGCAGAACUGGAGUUUAAUAUUGGAGGUGAAUUCUGCAUUUAACACUGUUGAAAUAAUUGAAUAACGGUUUUAACGUCAAACUGAGGUUUAAUCAUGGAAUCAUUAACCUGUGAAGGAGACUGGCUUAUAUCAGAAUCAUGUGUUUCAUUAAUGUAAUAGAAACGUUGCUCACAAGGGUGUGUUUAUCACACAAGUCCCACAGUUAGUAAGAAGGGAACCAAUCUCAGUAAUAUAAACUGCAUAGCUGGUGAUUUGAUCGCAUUUGGAGUUCUAAGUCUGAUUCCUCACACUAUCAGAUUUAGUCAAAGUAGCAUCAUUUCUCUGAGGUGAAGCGCAGAGGUGUAAAAAAAGUUAAAUUCAAAUACUAGUGUUCCUCAAAAUGGACUUAAUGUACUCAAUGGAUGUUGAUUUUUUUUUUUAAAGAUGUGUUUCCAAAGUAAAUGACCAGUUCAGAGCUGUGAAAGGAGUGAUGGUGAUGUUGACCAGGAGGGUAAGGAUGCUGAGCAGGCCAGGAAACAUGAACCAUAACAAGGUGAUCACAAUGACACAGUUCAAAACAACUGUAGUUUUAAUAGUAAUAGUCACUAACAGUUUAGUGAUGUAAUAAAUAAAAGCAGAAAAGGGACAUAUUUUAACUUUAAUCAUUAAAAUAUCAGGUUUUCUUGACUGGAAA